rnacentral:rRNA from 1 species
UAGGGAAUCUUCCGCAAUGGACGCAAGUCUGACGGAGCAACGCCGCGUGCGUGAAGAAGGAUUUCGGUUCGUAAAACUCUGUUGUUAGAGAAGAACAGCGCAUAGAGUAACUGUUAUGCGUGUGACGGUAUCUAACCAGAAAGCCACGGCUAACUACGUGCCAGCAGCCGCGGUAAUACGUAGGUGGCAAGCGUUGUCCGGAUUUAUUGGGCGUAAAGCGAGCGCAGGCGGUCAAUUAAGUCUGAUGUGAAAGCCCCCGGCUCAACCGGGGAGGGUCAUUGGAAACUGGUUGACUUGAGUGCAGAAGAGGAGAGUGGAAUUCCAUGUGUAGCGGUGAAAUGCGUAGAUAUAUGGAGGAACACCGGUGGCGAAAGCGGCUCUCUGGUCUGUAACUGACGCUGAGGCUCGAAAGCGUGGGUAGCAAGCAGG